rnacentral:lncRNA from 1 species
AUGGAAAUAUACUGGGAGUAGAGAGCACAGUUGAGUUGAAGGUAUAAGCAAUAUUUAGAGAGAGAGAGAGAGUGGCGACUGGGUUAGAAACCAGAAUCGAUCACUGAUUUACAGUAUUCGAGAUGUUUUUGGCCAUAGUUAAUCACCAAGAAGAAGAGGAAGAAGAAGGAAUCGGCACUAAAUUACUGUAUUAGAGGUGUUGUUUAAUUGGGGUUUCUUCCUGAAUGAAUUACCCAAAGGAGGAAGAGGUAUUGUCUUCUUUUUUUGUUGUCGAGUAAUUUCUACUUUCAGUUGAUGGUACGGUUUAAUUUGGGUUUAAUCGGGUUUCUUCCACGAUUUCUUGUCAAUUUGAGUUUCUUCUUUGUGUUUCUUGUCUAAUUUGGUUCUUCAGAAUCUUCACUGAAUUACCCAAAAGAAUAAAAAGGUUUUUCGAUUAUUUGAGUAAUUUCUACUUUAUUCGUACUGUAUAAUUUGUGUUUGAUUGUGUUUCUUCCACGAUUUCUUGUCAAUUUGGGUUUCUUCUGUGUUUCUUGUCUAAUUUAGGUUUAAUUGUUUUUCUUCAGAAUGGUCACUUUAUUACCCAAAAGAAGAAGAGGGUUUUUCGAUUAUCUUAGUAAUUUUUACUCUGUGUAUCCUUACAGUUUAAUUUGGGUUUCUUCUAUGAUUUCUUGUCUAAUUUUUGAUGGUACCGUUUAAUUCUUGAUUUUCUCUCAGUGUGUUUUGUGGAUUUUUUUAUGAUUGCUAUUAAUAAUUUGUAUUGUUUGUGGCUUACAUUGAAUAGAUGUUUUCUUUACAUAUGAUUUCUGUCUAAUUGGGUUUUUCCCCUUGAUUUCUUGUCUAAUUGGGUUUUUGUUUGUUUUGUCUGUCACUUUGUGUAUGAGUUUCAUUAUCUCUUUUCUUUCCGAGUCUACUUGACUUUUUCAUUUAUUAAUGUUGUUCUGUUUGGAAACACCAUUAUCAGAAUCUCUUUCUCUAAAAAGGAAAAAAAUGAUGUUGUACUAAUCCUAUAUACAUACACGUAAUGUUUAUAUCAGGGUUUGGUGUCUACAGAUCUUGAUUCGCAGUGCAGAUCUAGGGUUUCAACAUUUGCUCGCGAAUGGCUACUCCCUUUUACUUUCCUGUCACUGCUGUGCAUGUACCUCUUUAUCUCUCUUCUGGUACAUAUAUAUGCAUAUGUAUUUUUCCUUAGUCUAGUUUCUGUAUCUAAAUUGUAGUAAUCAAAAGCAGAGCUUUAACGGUGAAGAAGAAGAAGAGUCAAUGAGUGGGAUUCCAUUGCAGAGUGAUGAGUGCUUAUCUUUUGAUGCUGGCAAAUGAGUUUGACCAUUUUCCUGCUGGUGAUGACUUGAAGAGAUUGAGGAGUGGGAUUCAGUCGUCUUUUUAAUGGGUUUUCCCCUAUUUUUUGAUAAUGUUUCUUUGAGUUUAGAACUUUAGAUGAUUGAUGUUUGGAUUUAGAUUCCAUUUUUUGAAUGUUUUAAUCAUUUGAUGAACUUGGGUAUUAUGUAUUUAUAGUGAAUUUGGAUUCUGACUGCAAUUUCAGUUUAUGAUAGACCUUGGUUAGUUUUUGGUGUUUGAUGAACUGUGUUUUGGUUUUCUUUAAUUUUGGAUUCCUUUUUUUAUUGCAGACGCACAUUAAAAUGAAAUGUGUUUUGGUUGGAUCUUUUGUUUUUGCUAAUAUGUUAAUCGUCCUUAUGUGUUUCUACUUCACAUUUGAUAUUCCCCCCUAACUCUUGCUGUCUGAAAUUGUAUUUCAGUUUCCCUUCUUUGUUGAAAAACAAACAAA